rnacentral:rRNA from 1 species
CACGUAGGCGGCCUGUUAAGUGUGGGGUGAAAUCCCACGGCUCACCCGUGGAACUGCUUCGCAUACUGGCAAGCUCGAGGACGGUAGGGGAGAGCGGAACUCUUGGUGGAGCGGUGAAAUGCGUAGAUAUCAAGAGGAACACCGAUGGCGAAGGCAGCUCUCUGGUCCGUUUCUGACGCUGAGGUGCGAAAGCUAGGGUAGCAACG